UAUCUUUCAAGUAACCAUUUUCAUUUUAAUAAUAGUUUAAUAUGUCUGUCUGUUUAUCUCUAUCUAUCUGUCUUUUGAGAAUUAAAUACAUAUUUAUGUGAAGCACAAGAAUAGACUUUUUAAUUUAUCUAUGGUAGAAACCAUAAACUCUUGUACCAGUAUUCACCCAUUCUAUUUCAAUUGUAGGUACAGUAUAAUGUCCAAGAAACAUGGACUACUUGUGUAGCUAUUUGUAGAGUUCAGAUUUACCCUGCUGUAUCGAUGUGCCGCAGCAAUGCUAUGGGGAACACUAAUAUUGAAUUGUAUCUGUUUUCAAUAUUCAAAUGUGUACUGCACCACCCCCAAGGUCCAGAAUCUCAUGGAUAACAAGGCAGCUCAGGAGGAGUGCCUGUUUUAUGUCACAAAGCCAGGUCAGAAGCGUGCCAGCCUGCGAGAUGUGUUCCAGCUCUACUGUGGACUGAGCCCUGGUACCACCAUGAGAUCUGUGCUCCAGAUACGCUCAGCAGCUCCAGAGAGUCGACAAGAGGAAGCUGAUCCAGUUUGGGUUGAUAAAAGGGUUCAUCCGCAGGCUGCAGAAGUACCCCGUGAAGACAACCCGCGGCGAUAGAAGCCGCCCGUCCCGGCUGUACACUGGCUGCCAUAGCUACGAUGAGAUCUGCUGCAAAACAGGAAUGAGCUACAGAGAGCUGGACGAGAGGCUGGAGAACGAUCCCAACAUCAUCGUGUGCUGGAAAUGAACUCGCUGGGGCCAGUCAGCUGCAGCUGCAGCUAACGCAGGGAAGAGACAGGCUGGGACGAGCCAAGUCAGCAGAGAGAUGAAGAGGGAUCACAAAUACCCAGGAAAUCAAAGUGAAAGCACAUGCCAGUAUCAUAGCGAAGGACUUGCUGUGCACUGGGAUGAAAGAGAACCACAGUUUUUGUAUAGAAAUGAAUCUGUUUUCAUUGAAACAGAAGGAAUGAUUCCACAAUACUGGGUGCAGCUGUAUUAAAAUCAUGCAAAAAUAAAAGCGUGUGUUGGUUAGUAAAAUGUGUUGUUUUAUAUAAUGCAUACGAGGUGACUUACCCUACAACCGACUGCACUCUCUACUGCAAUAGGAUGUCAGCUCUGUCAAUCUGCAUAGCUUAGACUGCAAAAUGUGUUCUUUUUUCCCAAAAGGGGGGAAAAAACUGUUAAUGUUUCAUGUGAAUGUGCUCUUCAAACAGUUUCAGUUUUUGUUAAAAAAAAAAAAAAAAAAAAACAAGACGUGAAAAUACCAUGAUCUUCACCUACGUGUUUCACUGGAAUCCAUGCAAAGUUUACA